UGCACGGUAGCUUAGUUGGUAAAGCAAUCGUCAUACAUACAAGAGUCGUGGGUUCGAAUCUCACCUGAGCAC
rnacentral:tRNA from 1 species